rnacentral:rRNA from 1 species
GACGGGACCCGCACAAGCGGUGGAUGAUGUGGAUUAAUUCGAUGCAACGCGAAAACCUUACCUACCCUUGACAUGCCAGGAACUUGCCAGAGAUGGCUUGGUGCCCGAAAGGGAGCCUGGACACAGGUGCUGCAUGGCUGUCGUCAGCUCGUGUCGUGAGAUGUUGGGUUAAGUCCCGCAACGAGCGCAACCCUUGUCAUUAGUUGCUACAUUCAGUUGGGCACUCUAAUGAGACUGCCGGUGACAAACCGGAGGAAGGUGGGGAUGACGUCAAGUCCUCAUGGCCCUUAUAGGUGGGGCUACACACGUCAUACAAUGGAUGGUACAAAGGGUCGCCAACCCGCGAGGGGGAGCCAAUCCCAUAAAGCCAUUCGUAGUCCGGAUCGCAGUCUGCAACUCGACUGCGUGAAGUCGGAAUCGCUAGUAAUCGUGGAUCAGAAUGUCACGGUGAAUACGUUCCCGGGUCUU